UUCCCUCCCUUUCUCUUUCCUCUCCGCCCGGGAGUUUACGGGGGGGGGGGGCUGCUCACCCCUCGGUGGCAAAUCGGGAUGGGCUCGGCCCAGCUGGGCCAAUAGUUGUUAUCAGAGGCCCAGCUCAGCCGGCUCCCUCCCGUCUCACCUGGCUCUGGGGCUCCAGUGGGUAGGCAACUUCCCCUCCCCUGCCGGGAGCUGAUGGAGCCCGACCAGGCCUCCGGCCGCCUCUCCCGCCUAACAGGGGGAGCGGCAGGGCCCAGCCAGCCUGAGCCCGGAGGCACAGCCAGGCCUGAGCCGAGCCCCUCCAAGAGGGGGAAGUGGCCAGGGUCUAGCCGGCCUAGCCACUCCUCCUCGGAGCGGCUUCUGGGGCCGGUUGUUACUUGUUCUGCUGGCCGGAAAGGAAAAGGACUGGCUUGGACCCUCUCAGAAUGGCUCUGGCUGGGAGUACAGAACUACCUACAUUCAGACCUGACUGAAUUCUAAUUGAGAGGGUGAACUGUGGGAGUUGGCCAAGCUGAAGCAACUCUAAACCUAAGGCCAUGGGAAAUCCCUUUCUAGUUGUGGUGAUGCCUCUGAGCUGUUUCUGGGUGGCCUUUGCUGGAAAGAUUUUGAGGCUUGAAAAUUUCUCCUAGCUUGCAAUUUGACCAUGUGGGCGCCAGAUGUCGCUGUGAGCCUCGCUUGAAAAGACACACGGAGCCAGGAAUUUGGGAGAGCAGAAGCAGCAGGGGACAAUUCCCGCAUUGUUUAUUACUUCCUAUUAUAUACUUUUAGCAAGGUGACCAUGGAUUGGAGAGUGGUAUUCCCACCUCUCAACCACAUUGGUCAAAGGGACUGUCACACAGUCAUUCCUCCCCUUGGAGAAGAAUGUAAAACAAUGAUAAUGUUUGCAAAACAUUGCUGUUUCCCUGAAACGAGCCUGAGAAGGUUCUACUUUAAUAUGAACGCUCAGCAAACUAGGUGUCGUAGU